AUUGAACGCUGGCGGCAGGCCUAACACAUGCAAGUCGAACGAGUGGCGGACGGGUGAGUAAUGUCUGGGAAUCUGCCUGAUGGAGGGGGAUAACUACUGGAAACGGUAGCUAAUACCGCAUACCAUUAGAUGUGUCGAGAUGGGAUUAGCUAGUAGGUGGGGUAACCGCUCACCUAGGCUACGAUCCCUAGCUGGUCUGAGAGGUUGACCAGACACACUGGAACUGGGACACGGGCCAGACUCCAACGGGGAGCAGAAGUGGAGAAUAUUGCACAAUGGGCACAAGCCUGAUGCAGCCGAGCCGCGUGUAUGAAGAAGGCCUUCGGGUUGUGAAGUCCUUUCAGCGGGGAGGCGUUACCCGCAGAAGAAGCAACGGCUAACUCCGUGCCAGCCGCCGCGGUAAUAC
rnacentral:rRNA from 1 species